CUUGAGGCUUGGAAGAUAGUACAGCCCCUGCUGGACCCACCUGGAUUUCUCCACCUGGAAGGGGCUAUGGAGAACGUGAGACCCCACCCCAUGGCUAAAGAGAGGGAAGAGACAUCUUGCUGUCUUCACCAAGAGGCUCCGAAGGACAGUCAGUCUCUCCAGCCCAGGACCACAUCAUCCAGGCCUUUGCUGUCCAUCCCCCAGCUUUCCUUCAGGUAAGAGGUGGGGCUCGGCACGCCCCUCUCCAUGAGCCCCAGCAGGGUGACUUGGUGUACCUGCAAGUCUUCAGGAUGGAGCGAUGAGAGCCGUGGAGAGGCAAGCCGCUGCCAUGUAUAUGCUCUCCUUGGAGGGGCCCUCGACCCAGAGGCAGAUCCACACUGAGGCUAGAUCAGGACGUGUGCACUUGACCGAGGGUGACCGGGUCUCAGAGGGCUCCAGGGUAAACCAAGGGUGCAAGGUCUCCCCGGGAGGGCGCCCAGCUCCGACCACAUGGGGUGAGUUUUCCCAUCCUUAGCCACCCACCAGCCAGGCCAAGAAGCAAGAAAUCCUGUGUCCUGUCUCCAGACGUGAGGCUGAACCUGCUCCAAGGAGGUCACUGUCAGAACUGCAGUAUGUGAGCUGGAGGAGAGCGAGGUCCACACCUGUGCCCCCAUCAAAAUAGAAAGCCUGGUGUUUCAUGGCUCGGAAGGUGGAUUCGUUACCACUGGUGCCACCUGGGAAGCCCAUGAACAACUAUAUGGCAAGAAACUAAAUAAUCCAAGAGAAAUGGACACAUUUAUUGAAAUAAAUUGCCUCAAGUGACACAAGACAAAACAGAAAUAUUCAGCAGGCCUGUAACUAAUGAAGAGAUUGCAUCAGUAAUCAAAAACCCCUCAACGAAGGAAAGUCCAAAACCAGAUAGCUUCAAUGGUGAAUUCUACCGAACAUUCAAAGAAGAAUUAACAUGAAUAAUACUCCAACUCUUCAAAGGAAGUAAAGAUUCAGAAAGCAUAUGAGGUGCCUAGAACAGGCAAAUGCAAAGAGACAGAGAGUGGGACACCAGGCCCUGGGGGUGGAAAGAAUGGGAAGCUGUUAUUUAGCUGGGACAGAAAUGGGAUAAAAGUAAAAGGAAAGAAAAUGAUAUGCUAUGCUGUCACUAAUCAAAAGGUAACUGAAGUGGCGAUAUUAAUAUCAUAUAAAAUAGACUUUAGAGUAAAGAAUAUUUACCAAGGACCACGAAGAUCAUUUCGCAAUCAUAAAUGGGUCAGUUAAUCAAGAGGGCAUAACAAUCCUAAACAAUUACGUACACUAACAAUAGAGAUUCAAAAUACCUAAAACAAAAACUAAGAGAAGUACAAGGAGAAAUGGGUAUUCAUAAACUGUAGUCAGAGAUUUCAGUACUACUCAAUAGUUGAUAGAAAAAUAGGCAGAAAAGCAACAGGAAUAAGAAGACUUAAAAACAUCAUCAGCUGACUUGACCUCAUGGACACGUGUCGAAUACUCCACUCAACAACAAAAGAAUACGAAGUCUCUCAAGUGCACAGGGGCCAUUUACCAAGAUAGAUCAUAAUCUGGCCCGUGAAGCAAGUCCCAAUAAAAUCGAGAGGAUUCAAGUCAUAUACACGGACCACAUGGAGUUAAAUAAGAAAUCAGUAACAGAAAGCUUCUUGGAGAAUCCCCACGUUUGGAAGUUAAAUCACACACUCCUAAAUACAUCAAAGGGUAAGUCAAAAAGGAAAUUAGAGAGUGUUUUCUCUUUAUAAUUAUUUAGUUAGCCAUUUGGGGCUGUGCUGGGCCUUUGUUGCUGGGUCUUUCUCUAGUUGCAUUGAGCAGGGGCUACUCUUGAUUGCGGUGUGCGGGCUUCUCCUGUGGUGGCCCUUCCCGUGGAGCUCGGGCUCUAGGGGGCCCGGGCUUCAGUAGCUCUGGCUCACAGGCUCUAGAGCGCAGGCUCAGUAGUUGUGUGACUCAGGCUUAGGUGCCCCGAGGCAGGUGGGAUCUUCCCAGACCAGGGAUCUACCGGGUGUCCCCUGCACUGCAAGGCUAAUUCUUAACCACUGAACUCCCAGGGAAGCCCUAGAGAGUGUUUUCAACUGAAUGAAAAUGAAAGCACAACAUUAGAAGGUGUGGGAUGCUGCUCUAACAGUAUCCCAGGAGACAUUUACAGCACUAAAUGUCUAUCUUUAGAAAAGAAGAAAGGUCUGAAAUCAACGAUCUCAGCUUCAAUUUUUUUUUUUUCAGCUUCAGUUUUAAGAAACCAGGAAAAGCACAGCAAAUUAAAUCUAAAGCAAACAGGAAAAAAAAAAUAGAAAUAAUAAAGAUCAAAGAGGAAAUCAAUACAGAAAAAUCAAUGAAAUCAAAAGCUGGUUCUUUGGAAAGAUUAAUAAAUGUUCAUUGGCUGAUUUUGUGUCUCCUGAAUCCACUCCCCUAUUUCGAGCACGUGGAAGAGUUGAGAGAAGGGAAAAAGAGAAAAGGAGCUACAGCUGUGCUGAGUUCCUUCCAAGGAGGCACGUGGGGCAUGGUGCUUUCCACUUGGUCCCUUGCAGCUGAGAAAGGGUGACUGGUUCUCCAUCUCAGGUCUGGAAACAUCUUUUAAGCUGUCUGCGACCUCCGGACAGAGGAGUCGGCAUGUCUAGAGUUUCUUUAGAUCACGUGGCAGGAGAUGCCUCAGAAAGACUCAAUAUUUGGUCCUCUGAAGCAUACAAGCAAGUAUGCUGCUCCGCAGGAGGAGCCCUCUCUAGACUUUGGCCAGGCUGAGAGAACACCGAGGCAUCCAGCUAGGUAGGAACCACCUCGUCACCUUCCCUCCUCUGUCUCUCGGCCCCCACCAGGAUCAAGACAGUAACUAGAAAGCAAGAGGACAGAAUCCACCCACAAUCGCCUCCCUGGACUCAAGGCUCUCUCCUGCCUCCAGCCUUAGCUGGGGAAAGAAGAGAGGUCUUAACCCUGAAAGGGAAAUAUUUCCUCCACGUGGCCCUGGCGACCAUGUGCAUCUCUACCUGGGUCAUGUAGGCAAGACACAGCUGGCCUCAACCUUGGCAGGACCCCCUGUGGUCCUCCCAGAACAUGACAACUUAGGGAGCUUAUGGAGGGGCUUCCUCUCCCUCUUCCAGGAAGGCCUUUUUCUCCUGGGCUCUAAUGACAUAGGAGGCUUUCUGCCUCGCACGUCUUAGGGUACAGCUGCAGGUUAUCAAACUACACAGAAAUGACUCCUGGCUGUCAGGGUGCCCCACCCCUCAUGUUACAUUGUCAUCUCUUGUUUUGGGGUCAUCCUUUUGAAGAAGGGUCACGGGAAGCUGCCACCUUGACUGAUCUUGCUUUUGCUCUCGAUGCACAUGAUAAACUGUCUGAACUGAAAAAGAUUUGUUUCGGAAAUUCCCUGGUUGCCCAACGGUUAGGGCUCCGUGCUUCCACUGCAGGGGGCCUGGGUUCGAUCCUUGGUCAGGGAGCUGAGAUGCUGCGAACCUUGCACAUAGCACGCCAAAGUAAAUUAAAAAUAAAACGGUGUAUUUCUUUACUGGCCAAAUCUGUCAACCUUGCUUGAUACCCCUUAGUGAGUUUGAGGUUGCGUCGUAACCCAGUCUGAACUGGGGCUGUGGCCUGUGGUUUAGAGUGACAAGGGAACUCUAUUUAGUCUCCGUAUGAGAUGAUGGAUGCUAAUUAAAUUUUGCAGUAAUUAUUUCACAAUAGAUGUAAGUUGAAACCACCUUAAACUCUAAUUCCACUGUGGUCAGAAAAUAUGUCUGGUAUGAUUUCAAUCUUUUGAAAUGUAUUGAGACUUGUUUUAUGACCCAAGUACAAGGUCUCUCUUGGUGACUGUCCCAUGCACACUUGACAAGGGUGUGCAUCCUGCUGUUCUUGGCUGGAAUGUUCUAUAAAUGUCAAUUAGGUCAAGUUAAUUGUGAGUAUUGCUCACAUCUUCUAUAUACUCAUUAAUGCUUUUGUCUGCGUUUAUUUCUUUAUUUUUACUAACUGCCAAGGCAGCAGUGUUAAAACAUCCAAAUAUGAUUGCGGGUUUGCCUGUUUCUCCUUUUAGUCCUGCCAGGUGUCUUUUCUCCCUGUACUUUGAAGCCCUGUUAUUAGACUCAUCAUCCGUUUAGGUUUGUUAUGUCAUUCUGUUGAAUUUAUCGUUAAGAACUGACCCUCUUUAUCUCUGAUAGUACUCUGUACAAUCUACUUUGUUAUGAAUAGGGUCGCCCUUGCUCUGUUAUAGUUGGUAUUCGUAGGGUAUACCUUUUUUUUGUCUUAAUGUUUUCAGUUUUUCUAUGUCCUUAUACUUGAAGGGUGUCACUUGUUGAGAAACAUACAGUCAGUUUGUUGUUGAUUUUUUUUUUUUUUAACUCCAGUCAGGCAAUCUCUGUCUUUUAGAGAUCGUAUCUAUCAUCUUGCUUUCCAUUUGUUCCAGCU
ensembl:lncRNA